rnacentral:lncRNA from 1 species
CAAUUUUUCACAUUCAUAUAACUAAUAUUUAUAUCAUUAACAUAAUUUCAACUUAAAAACUAUCAUAGCAUCAUUCAAAAUUGAUUAAAAACUUCAUUCAUUUAACAACUUAAUGUUCAUGUAUCAAAAUAUCAUAUACUUUUCUUACCAUUUCAUUUAACCAUCUAAAUCUUAUAAUUCAACCUUCACUACCCAAAGUAAUAUGCAUAUUCAAGUGACUAUAUAACACCUAUGUACAUGUCACCUUUACCCAAAAGAAAAAUAUACAUCACCAAAUUUGUGUUGGAGUCGGGAAUGUUCUGGAUGCUGAACCGGGACACUUGACUUCUACUAACCUGCGCACGGAAACAACCGUACGCUGAGUAUGGAUAUACUCAGUGAUAUUACCAUAAUUCAAAUUAUAUCAACAAUAGUAAAAACAUAAAUAUUAAAAUACCUAACAAUUAAUGUCAUAUGUACUAAUUCAUAAAUCAAUGUAUUUUCUCAAACUUAAAUUUAUAUCACUUAUGAAUAUACAUUUCAUACUUUUCUCUUAUUAUCACAAUUCCAAUUUCAAUUAGUAAUUCAAUUUAUUUUUCUCGUUUCAAUGCCUCAAAUUCACAUUUCAAUUUUUCACCCUAUUAACGUAACUCGGACUUUGGCGGAUACACGGAUCCAACCAAACACACCAAUAUGGCACCCAGUGCCUCAUCGGAUAGUUCGAAGCAAUAGUUGACACCCAGUGUCUCAUCGGCCCAGCCGAAGUAAAGUUGGUACCCAGUACCUCAUCGAAUCUAUCCGAAGAAAUAUAGUGACACCCAGUGUCUCAUCGACUCGAGGUCGAAGUAUCCCUGAACACUUCCAAUCCUAUGGCAUGCCAACUAUAUCCGACUCAGCCCGGCUAGUUAAUAGGGUAUUCAAUUCACUUUCUCAAUCCCAUAUCACUUUCAAUUCACAAUUCAAAUCACCAAUCAUUUUUCAAUCAAUACGCUUUUCAAAUAAUUACAUCUUCCAUAAUUCACUUAUUCAAUUCAAUUUGAUUCAAUUUGCAUCACUUUCUCAUACUUUCAAUUCAAAUCAUUCCCAUUUAAUCACCAUUUGUUUCAAUACAUUUUUCUAUUUCAAAUUCACAUUCGAUUUAAUCGCAAUUCAACUCAGAUUCACUUCCCACUUUCAAAUCAAUAUACAAUUCAAUACCAAUACAUAUUUCAGAUAUUCACAUAUAAUCAUACUUCGAUUCAAUUCAAACCACUUUUCAAUCAAUACACAAUUCACAUAUUCACAUAUCUCAAUUUAAUAUAUCAUUUAUUCAAUUCAUAUUUUAAUUCAUUCAAUUAAAUAUUGAUAUUCUCCUUAUUUUUAUUUACUAACAUAUUAUUCAAAAUUCAAUAAUUACUGUCAAUAAAUUCAAUAUCAAUACGUAUAUAUAUUAUUCAAUUCAAUUAUGAAACUCACAUCAAUUUGCUUAUCGUGUAUAUUAAUUUAAUUUUCAACGAUUAAUAAUUAAAUUCGAAUUAUAGUAAUACUAACCGUAAUUUCUCUCGAGUCACUCCUUGUCCACUUUCUCCUUUCCUUUCUCGGACAAUGACUCGUACACGACAUUAGCUACGUAAUUAAACAAUUAAAAAUCAUUAAUACACAAUUUCAUUAAAAUAUUUCCUUUUAUACCUAAACUUUACCCAAAUUCUAAUUUAAUCCCUUACCAAUACUAAUUUUAUUUUUCCCAAUCUAACUCUAUAUUCUCUCUUAAUUCUUACUAUAAAGUCAAUUUAAUUCCUCAAUUUCACCAUAAAUCCCUAAUUUCGGGAUUCUUUCAAUUUAAUCCCUAUCGAUUCAAAACUUAUAUUUUAUUUUACAAUUACAUUCUUUACUAACUUCUAACUUGAAAUUAAAUCAAUUUAACCCCUAACUAAACCUAUAUAUUUUUCUUUCUCAAUUCAUAUCCUUAUUCUACCCAAUUUCUUGCUAAACUCAUAUUUAACUAUUUAAUUUUUAUCAUGUUUUCAUAAUUCUGAAUUUAUUUCAAAUUAAUCCCUAAAAUUCAAAACUUAUAGUUUAAUUUACAAUUCAAUCCUUUAUUCAAUUCCAAUCAAAAUUUCUAUCAAAUACAUCCCUAAUUUAACAAUUUAUUCAACAUGAACCAUGCUUAAUAAUCUACUAACUUUCAAAAUUUCAAAAAAAAUAUCAAAAUUAAGAGAAAAGGGGAUUAAAUUGACUUACCAAAUUACUUUGAACCUUAAAACCCCAAAUUUCCCUUUUUCUUUUCUUUUCUUUCUUUCUUUCCUUCCUUCCUUCUCUGUUUCGUUUUGCUCUCUGUUUCUUUCUUUCUCCCUUCUCUGUUUUGUUUUGUUUUGCUCUCUG